rnacentral:rRNA from 1 species
CGUUCCCGGGUCUUGUACACACCGCCCGUCACACCAUGGGAGCGGGUUUUACCAGAAGUAGGUAGCCUAACCGCAAGGAGGGCGCCUACCACGGUAGGAUUCGUGACUGGGGUG